AUUGAACGCUGGCGGCAGGCCUAACACAUGCAAGUCGAGCGGACGAAGGGAGCUUUCUCCCGGAUUCAGCGGCGGACGGGCGAGUAAUGCCUAGGAAUCUGCCUGGCAGUUGGGGAUAACGUCCCUAAACGGGCGCUAAUAUCGCACACGUCAUGAGGUUGAACGUGGGGGAUCUUCGGACCUCACGCUAUCAGAUGAGCCUAGGUCGGAUUAGCUAGUUGGUAAGGUAAAGGCCUACCAAGGCGACGAUCCGUAACUGAUCUGAGAGGAUGAUCAGCCACACUGGAACUGAGACACGGUCCAGACUCCUACGGGAGGCAGCAGUAGGGAAUCUUCGGCAAUGGGCGAAAGCCUGAUCCAGCCAUGCCGCGUGAGUGAUGAAGGUCUUCGGAUUGUAAAACUCUUUUAUUUGGGAAGAACAAAAGUGUAAUUAACCAUUCAUGUUUUGACGUUACCUACUGAGAAAGCCCCGGCUAACUUCGUG
rnacentral:rRNA from 1 species